UACGUAGGUGGCAAGCGUUAUCCGGAAUUAUUGGGCGUAAAGAGCGCGCAGGUGGUUGAUUAAGUCUGAUGUGAAAGCCCACGGCUUAACCGUGGAGGGUCAUUGGAAACUGGUGACUUGAGUGCAGAAGAGGGAAGUGGAAUUCCAUGUGUAGCGGUGAAAUGCGUAGAGAUAUGGAGGAACACCAGUGGCGAAGGCGGCUUCCUGGUCUGUAACUGACACUGAGGCGCGAAAGCGUGGGAGGCAAACAGGAUUAGAUACCCU
rnacentral:rRNA from 1 species